UCUCGAACGUGUAAAAGUUAAAUCAAAUUUGUAUGGAUUUUGAACGUUUGCCUACGUUUGCCGCUAGGGGCGCUGUUCCGUCUACAUACAAAUUUGAGUUACUUUUACGCUAUCGA
rnacentral:pre_miRNA from 9 species